CAGUAGGGGUGGGGAUGGAGUAGAGUCACUGUGGGAAAAGGCAGAGGCCUCAGCAGUUCCUAGGGUCUGAAGGCAAAUGAGAAGCAGGGGAGAGAGGAAUUGGGGAGGGAAAGGAAGAGUUCCUGGCAUAGACCCCGCCCCUAUCCCCUUGACAAGGGAACUACUCAGAAGCCCUAAGAGACUCACCACGACUGGAAAAGGACAGCAGAUCACCCGCUUCAGGAGAGCAUUGCCUGUGAGCGAUUCUGAAGUGGAAGUUUUUCUCAUAGAGGGAGGGACCAUGGAGUCCCCUUCAGGCCCUGCUCCCAGACCAUGCGUCUGGCAGGGGCUCCUGCUGACCGCCUCACUCCUAACCUUCUGGAGCCUGCCCACCACUGCCCAGUUCACUAUGGAAUCAGUGCCGCCCAAUGCUGUCGAAGGGCAGGAUGUGCUUCUCCAUGUCCCCAACCUGCCUGGGAAUCUAAUGGGCUCUAAGU